CCUACGGGGAGCUGCAGUGAGGAAUAUUGGUCAAUGGACGAGAGUCUGAACCAGCCAAGUAGCGUGAAGGAUGACUGCCCUAUGGGUUGUAAACUUCUUUUAUAUGGGAAUAAAACGUUCCACGUGUGGGAUUUUGUAUGUACCAUAUGAAUAAGGAUCGGCUAACUCCGUGCCAGCAGCCGCGGUAAUACGGAGGAUCCGAGCGUUAUCCGGAUUUAUUGGGUUUAAAGGGAGCGUAGGUGGAUUGUUAAGUCAGUUGUGAAAGUUUGCGGCUCAACCGUAAAAUUGCAGUUGAAACUGGCAGUCUUGAGUACAGUAGAGGUGGGCGGAAUUCGUGGUGUAGCGGUGAAAUGCUUAGAGAUCACGAAGAACUCCGAUUGCGAAGGCAGUUCACUGGACUGCAACUGACACUGAGGCUCGAAAGUGUGGGUAUCAAACAGGAUUAGAUACCCCAGUAGUC
rnacentral:rRNA from 1 species